UUACUGUCUAACUCGUUGUCUCUGGUAAUAAAACUUCAGUAUCCGAAAUAGAUUUUCUAGACUAAGAAUUUCUCAUGGCAAAGCUACUAAGGAUCGUGGCAAGGCUGUUAUGGAUCAAGGUGAAGGUGUAAAGGAAUACGAUUUACCUCAACCUGUUUAAAUCUGUUGAAUCCUUCUCUUCUUUCUGCGUAUACCCCCCCUUGCUUCGCACUGCC
rnacentral:lncRNA from 1 species